rnacentral:rRNA from 1 species
GUCCACGCCCUAAACGAUGUCAACUGGUUGUUGGGGAGGUGAAAUCCCUUAGUAACGAAGCUAACGCGUGAAGUUGACCGCCUGGGGAGGUACGGUCGCAAGAUUAAAACUACAAAGGAAUUGACGGGGACCCGGCACAAGCGGUGGAUGAUGUGGAUUAAUUCGACGCAACGCGCAGAACCUUACCAGGGCUUAACAUCCCAUGAUCGCUACAGAGAUGUAGUUUUCCUUUCGGGGACAUGGAGAUAGGUGCUGCAUGGCUGUCGU